rnacentral:rRNA from 1 species
CGGGUAUUCGANCCAGGAUAAGAUACCCCUGUUAGUCCGCCCGGUAAAACGAUGAAUCCCCGCUGUUNGGCAAUAUACUGUCGGUGGCCAAGCCGAAAGCGUUAACCAUCCCACCUNGGGAGUACGCCCGGCAACGGUGAAACUCAAAGGAAUUGACGGGGCCCGCACAAGCGGAGGAACAUGUGGUUUAAUUCGAAGCAACGCGAAGAACCUUACCAGGCCUUGACAUCGUAUGCAUAGUCUAGAGAUAGAUGAAACCUCUUCGGAGGCAUAUAGACAGGUGGUGCAUGGUUGUCGUCAGCUCGUGUCGUGAGAUGUUGGGUUAAGUCCCGCAACGAGCGCAACCCUUAUGGUCAGUUACUAACACGUAGAGGUGAGGACUCUGACAAGACUGCCGGGGACAACUCGGAGGAAGGUGGGGACGACGCCAAAUCAUCAUGCCCCUUAUGACCUGGGCUACAAACGUGCUACAAUGGUGACAACAAAGGGAAGCAAUUGGGCGACCAUGAGCAAAUCUCAAAAAUAACGUCUCAGUUCGGAUUGUAGUCUGCAACUCGACUACAUGAAGCUGGAAUCGCUAGUAAUCGCGAAUCAGAAUGUCGCGGUGAAUACGUUCCCGGGUCUUGUACACACCGCCCGUCACACCAUGGGAGUUGGGAAUGCCCGAAGUCUGUGACCCAACCGUAAGGAGGGAGCAGCCGAAGGCAGGCUCGAUAACUGGGGUG